AAGUUUUUGUUUUGCACUUACAUGGUAUAGAUCAAUCAUCAGCAAGAAUUUCCCACUGUCUCACUGCUGGUCUCAUUUUAUCUACCAGACAAUGUCCUGAGAACAGAAUCGCAAAGUCUGUUCCAUACAGAACACUUUCAGAGCUUGGUGCUCAGCACUGUCCCAGACUGAUCACACCCUAACAUGUUGGUUCUCUGUUAACCAGCACACUUCGGACGGGAUCCAACACAUUCUCGUAUCAUAUUUAAUUCUGUACUUUAGUGAACGUGCAUUUAAAAUCUAAAGCUGGAAAGAUUUUAAUCUUUCUAUUUUUUAACUCUCUCAUUUUACAGAUGAAGACAUCAGAGAGGGAAGCAACCAAUUCCAGAGUCUAGGAUAAAAAUAUGCAUAAACUCAAAUCAAUGUCAUUUCUUGGAAACUGCAAUUAGAAAACUAUCAUUGGAAAUACUGGAGAAGGCAUGAAGGAGGAGUGUGAGAUGAACCUUGUGUCAGAGACCAGUGAGACCACAGGAGAUGUCAUGACUGAGAUGAGCUUCCUGGUUUCUUUGGAGAUGGUGGGAUACAGGAGGAGCAGAAAAAGUAGCAGCAUUGAGUGCCAAAGACAAGAUCGGUGCAUUUACUAUUAAAGGGAUCAGGGACAUAUUAAUUAAAGUGCUUUGGCCCACAGGAAUCUCUGGUGGUAGCUAAUUUAUCCUGCAGUCCCUAGGAAUGAAAUCAGUGUGCAGCUUACUACAAUACUGUAUAAUCUAUAUAACAACAACAACAACAACAAAACUGU